rnacentral:tRNA from 1 species
GGUCGAUGCGGCUGACUGGUGAGGCCGCCGCACUAUUAAUGCGGAGGACCGGGUUCAAGUCCCGGAUCGACUGC